UGGGGAAUAUUGGACAAUGGGCGAAAGCCUGAUCCAGCCAUGCCGCGUGUGUGAAGAAGGUCUUCGGAUUGUAAAGCACUUUAAGUUGGGAGGAAGGGCAGUAAGUUAAUACCUUGCUGCUUUGACGUUACCGACAGAAUAAGCACCGGCUAACUCUGUGCCAGCAGCCGCGGUAAUACAGAGGGUGCAAGCGUUAAGCGGAAUUACUGGGCGUAAAGCGCGCGUAGGUGGUUUGUUAAGUUGGAUGUGAAAGCCCCGGGCUCAACCUGGGAACUGCAUCCAAAACUGGCAAGCUAGAGUACGGUAGAGGGUGGUGGAAUUUCCUGUGUAGCGGUGAAAUGCGUAGAUAUAGGAAGGAACACCAGUGGCGAAGGCGACCACCUGGACUGAUACUGACACUGAGGUGCGAAAGCGUGGGGAGCAAACA
rnacentral:rRNA from 1 species